UUUCGCCUAUGCUCUCUCUCUCGCCGUCUCUCCCAAAUGGAGAGUUAAAGAUUUUUUUCCUUUUUGUCGACAAAGUCGAAGAGAUGAUAAGAGGAAGAGAAGAAGGCAAAGAAUUUUGGUCAAACAUCGUGUAUAUGCUAAGCUCGAUCUUCGGCUGAAGCUAUGGCACAAAGUAAUUGGGAAGCUUACAAGAUGAUUGACGUUUAUAUAUACGUAUGAGAUCAUUUGGUGAAGAAAAAAACUUCGUAAUACUGCAAAAUCGUUUAUGAUUGAAGGAAAGGUUUCACCUGAUCGAGCUGGUAAUUAUAUGACUUUCGUGAUCAGAGUAACUAUAAGAAUAUUAAACCAUUGUACGAUGAAAUGAGGCAGAAGUUCAGUCGAAUGCAUUGCUGGAGGUGCUACCCAUAACUCAAUCAAACUGACCCAGUGGAUGCUUCAAACUCUUUAGGCAACCAGUUACAUGGGAUCCAUUGGAAAGGACAAAUAGGGAGAGGCAAUGAUGGUUGCUACCGCAGCUGGUGUCAAUGUCCACUCUUUUGGAGAUGAGUCAAAACCUACCAGAACUUGCCGUGUCUGUGUUCUUGGUGGAGAAAGGUCGCUCAUUGCAAAUCUUUCUGCUGCAAGCUGCUACAAGGUUGAACACUUGCAUAAGCAUGAGUACUGGGCUCUAGUUGGGAAUGCUAAGUUCUACUACAUUGAUGGAUUCUUCGUCACAGUAUAUCAUACUAUAAUCCAUUCAGUUGGUAUGUGAACAUGCAGCUGCUAACAACAAGCUAAGAAGACAUGAUCCUUUAUGAGAACCAGACAUGUCAUAUAUAUUUUGUAAUGUCUUCUCUUUGAUCAGAUUUCAACACAUUUCUCUACUGUUUCUCCCUAACAGUAGCAAGAAUCAAGGUUUACUGACAUCUGAAAUAUCUAUCUAUUCUCAGUUGGUACAUGAUUUUUUCUAUUAAGAAUUUUUUUAUUAA